UACGUAGGGUGCGAGCGUUGUCCGGAAUUAUUGGGCGUAAAGGGCGCGUAGGCGGCAAAUCAAGUUAGGCGUGAAAUCCCUGGGCUUAACCCAGGAACUGCGUUUAAUACUGGUUAGCUAGAGAUUGGUAGAGGAAAGUGGAAUUCCUAGUGUAGAGGUGAAAUUCGUAGAUAUUAGGAAGAACACCAGAGGCGAAGGCGACUUUCUGGGCCAAUACUGACGCUGAGGCGCGAAAGCGUGGGGAGCAAACAGG
rnacentral:rRNA from 1 species